GAUGAACGCUGGCGACGUGCCUAAUACAUGCCAGUCGGACGCAGAUCCUUCUGGACCUGAGUGGCGGUCGGCUGCGGAACACUUGGGUAUCUGCCUGGCAGUGGCGGAUCACGGGCCGCAACGUCCGCUAAGCCCUCAUACGUUCUCUCUCUGCUGGCCAGAUAGCAGCAAUGCGCUGCCAGAGGAGCCUGCGGCCUAUCAGAUCGUGGGCUGGGUAAUGGCCUACCAAGUUGAGGACGGGUCCCUGGGCGGAGUGGACGGCCUGGCAGACUGGGACUGAGACACGGCCCAGACCCCGAGGCGAGGCAGGAGCAAGGAAUUUUCGGGAAGGGGCGCAAGCCUGACCGAGCAGCGUCGGGUGGAGGAUGACGGCGUUCGGGUUGUAAACUCCGUUUGGAGGGGAUGAUAGUGACGGUACCCCUUGAAUAAGCCCCGGCUAACUACGUG
rnacentral:rRNA from 1 species